UAUGACAUCUAAUGAACUCUGAUCUUUCUGAAUAUGUACAUCAGCUUAAUUCUAGACUUAGGCUGUAUAAUGUAAUGAAGAGCAGGCUGCCACAGGCAAUGAACAAGAUGACUUUGAAUUCUCGAAGGCCUAUGAUCUAGUUAUAAGCCACUCAUGGAAACGGAUUCGAGAGGCUAACGAAGAUAAAUAUUCAUUUUGCUCAAACAAGUUAAAGAAGAAGAGGAAACACUACCCUAGUCAGAUCAAGAAAAUGCACCGAGUUGUUCAGGGAAAGGGAAUCGUGUCAACUCAAUUCAGGAGUGACCAAGAGGGCCAUAAUGAGCCUUUUGAUGAUAUGACACUAAGUCAAGCCGGAUACAAAGUACAGGAUAAUGUUUCAAAGUCAGAAACAGAGCCGUCUGGAAUUCCAGUGCCAUUGCUGUCUGCAUAUCUCAUCAGUGUACAUGAACAGCGUGCUUUCAACUCAUUGGACAACUCUCUCCGGUCGUUUGUUAUACAGGGAAUCAAUAGAAUCGAUUCCUCUUUGAAUCUAGAGCAUGGAGUUUCUUUUCGUCUCACGCUGUGGGUUGCACUUCAGUGAUGGUAUACAGUGGGUAUACUGGUGCAGUUGUGAUAGUGCACGUGGCCACUUACUAAAUAGCUGCUCCACUUCGGUUGAUUCCAUAUAUAUGAUGCAUUCACAAGCAUUGUUGGCUCUGAAUGUAUCCACAUCGAAGCAACUAGACUGAUUAUCCAAGAGACUGACAAUAUUCACAACAUUACAUCAGCUCAAGAAUUAUCAGAUCAUUCGUAUACUUUGAAUAUUGAACCUCACAAGGAGGACACCUCCUACAGUAUAAAUGUUGGCACAGAGGUUGUAUGCUCUAUUGGGCAGGCGGUAUGUACAAGAGCUGAUAGUGGCCAUGGUGUUGUACAAGUUCGUAUUGAUGAUAAACAAUUAAGGGGUCUGUACUGUUGUACAUGCAAAUACAAUAAACAGCACAGUUCACAUGCGGACAUUGUCGAGAAAGCAUUGAAUAGCCCGGAUGAGGAUAAACAUGACUGCCUCAAUAAAAUUGCAAAGAUCUGUCUAGUGUGCAGCAGAAUAGACAAGUGCACGUGCAUCAGUAUCGGUCCCUUUCAUCAAGCAGUAUACCAUUCAAUUUAUCAAGUGAAUUGUCUCAACAACUGGCAUGUACUGUAGCUGAUCGCUUCAACAUUGUAAACAACACUUCUAUUUUGGGCUCAGUUGACACAUAUUGUAAAGUGUGCAGUACGCUUACACGAGAUGAAGAAGACAAGCAGGAAUCUGUACGGAGCAAAAUUAUACUGUUCAAUACAGUUAUCAAUGCGAAUGUGCAUGUUAGGUAUUGCUCAGGAUGUAAGAAACGUAAAGAAUUUGAUGGCCAACUAGUAGGAUUAUUGAAUAUGGGCAAGUUCCUGGUAUCCUAUGAAGUUAAAUUCUGCGAGGUUUUAUGCAUCAAUUCCUUUUGGGAAGAACAACUAUAUAUACCCAGUAUUGUGUGUUGGUUAAAAACCAUGAAGAUGCAGGAUUCGGCGAUCAGUUUAAGUAUAUGUUUACAUACAAUCACUAUCGGUUGUCGUGGUAUGCCUUUCUUGACCCGUUAGACAUUGAUUAUCAAGUAGGAUUUCAGUGCACUGCGUGUGGAGAUUGUCCACCCAUUGUUGUCAUGGAUGCUACUAGUUUAGCAUUCAGAAAAGACCUUAUGCCCUGGAAGUCCCAACUCAACGGUUCUGGAGUUCAUAAAACCUCAUCCCCUAUAUCAGCUGUACUG